rnacentral:rRNA from 1 species
UACGAAGGGGGCGAGCGUUGUUCGGAUUUACUGGGCGUAAAGCGCACGUAGGCGGAUUUGUUAGUCAGGGGUGAAAUCCCGGGGCUCAACCUCGGAACUGCCUUUGAUACUGCAAGUCUCGAGUCCGAUAGAGGUGGGUGGAAUUCCUAGUGUAGAGGUGAAAUUCGUAGAUAUUAGGAAGAACACCGGUGGCGAAGGCGGCCCACUGGAUCGGUACUGACGCUGAGGUGCGAAAGCGUGGGGAGCAAACAGG